rnacentral:rRNA from 1 species
GUACACGCUGUGACUAGCAUAUCAAUAAGCGGAGGAAAAGAAACUAACAAGGAUUCCCCUAGUAACGGCGAGUGAAGCGGGAAGAGCUCAAAUUUGAAAUCUUAAAGGGUUUCCCUUUACGAAUUGUAGUUUAAAGAAGUGUUCUCUGUUGAGGUUUUGGUAAAAGUUCUUUGGAAUAGGACAUCAUAGAGGGUGAGAAUCCCGUAUUUGACCUUUACUUUCAACUUUGUGAUACACUUUCAAAGAGUCGGAUUGUUUGGGAAUGCAGUCCAAAAUGGGUGGUAAAUUUCAUCUAAAGCUAAAUAUUGGCGAGAGACCGAUAGCGAACAAGUACCGUGAGGGAAAGAUGAAAAGAACUUUGAAAAGAGAGUUAAACAGUACGUGAAAUUGUCAAAAGGGAAGCGUUUGACACCAGUGUUGUUUUUCUGAAAAUCAAUUAAAGAACUGUUUAUGCUAAGUUGUUUAGACUUUAUCAGCUAUCUGUUUAGUUUUGAGCUUUUCUUUAAUGCACUUUUCAGUUAACAAGUCAACAUCAAUUUCUUUUGCUGUAAAAAAGCUUGAGGAAGGUGGCUUGAGAUUCGUCUUAAGUGUUUAUAGCCUCUUGCCUAUGCAGUCGGAGAGAUUGAGGUCUGCAGCGUAGAUCCUUCGGGGCUAAAUGCAUUUGUGCUAAGUUAUAGCAUUUUAUAGACAACUUGUUGACUAUGAUUUGUCUUGUAGCUUACUCGCUUAUGUUAUUUUACCUACGCUUAGGAUGUUGACUGAUAUGUAGUCGUA